rnacentral:lncRNA from 1 species
AUUCUUCUCUGUACUCUACCAGCUUCAGCUUGUUUAUGUCCUGAGACCUGUUGACCUGCCCCUGUUUUUCCCUCGAGAUCAGCCUACGCUCACAUUUCAGUCAGUCUAUCACUUUACCAACAGUGGACAGCUUUACUCCCAAGCACAAAAAAACUACCCAUACAGCCCCAGAUGGGAUGGAAAUGAAAUGGCCAAGAGAGCAAAGGCUUAUUUCAAAACCUUUGUCCCUCAGUUCCAGGAGGCCGCAUUUGCCAAUGGAAAGCUCUAGGAAACACCAGUGCUGAGAGGCGGCCAACCAGACUGCUCAGUCCACAUGCGUGUCAGCGCUCGGGCUGCUUGCUGGAAACUGCUCGGAAUGUCUUCAUGGCAGCCCUUGG